rnacentral:sRNA from 2 species
AAAAUGGUUGGCUAGGGUUCCGGCUUGCGAAAGCGAGCGUCAGGUCCGAGAGCUGACGACCUCCAGUUGAGGUUACACGGCGGGAUAAAAGCCCGGGAGAC